ACGCCGAUGGUGAAACGGUUAUCAUGCUUGCCUUCCAUCAAUGCGGCUUGAGCCGGCUACAGCAAGCGGUAGGGGUUCAACUCCCCUUCGGCGUA